rnacentral:rRNA from 1 species
AACGAACGCUGGCGGCAUGCCUAACACAUGCAAGUCGAACGAAGGCUUCGGCCUUAGUGGCGCACGGGUGCGUAACGCGUGGGAAUCUGCCCUUUGCUUCGGAAUAACAGUUAGAAAUGACUGCUAAUACCGGAUGAUGUCGCAAGACCAAAGAUUUAUCGGCAAAGGAUGAGCCCGCGUAGGAUUAGCUAGUUGGUGGGGUAAAGGCCUACCAAGGCGACGAUCCUUAGCUGGUCUGAGAGGAUGAUCAGCCACACUGGGACUGAGACACGGCCCAGACUCCUACGGGAGGCAGCAGUGGGGAAUAUUGCAAAAUGGGCGGAAGCAUGAUCCAGCAAUGCCGCGUGAGUGAUGAAGGCCUUAGGGUUGUAAAGCUCUUUUACACGGGAUGAUAAUGACAGUACCGGGAGAAUAAGCACCGGCUAACUCCGUG